rnacentral:lncRNA from 1 species
UCAGUUCCAAAACAGUGAGAAAGCUGAAGAGAGGGUUCCAUGGUGUUCUUGAGUAAUUAAGGUGCGUUUCAAACGAUUUCUACAGUUAAAAUUUGCCCUCGUGCCUAGAAACAUAAUCUCUACCCUUUUCAAUCGUUUUCCCCUUCUAUUAGCGGUGUUUGGAGAUACUCUUGGAAGAUAGGAAUCUGUUGUUCUUGCUGGUUCUUCAGGAUUUAUACUAUGUUUGCCAAGGUAAUCAUCUAGGGACUCUUUUAUGAGCGUUUUUACAAAGUUCUACGGAUGUUUCGUCAAGUUAGGGUCAUAUGGCAAAUUUGCCAAUUUAAACUCAAUUACGAAUUUUUUAUAGGUUCGUAUAAGCUACAUAUAUACAUAUACAUAUACAUAUAUACAUAUACAUAUAUACAUAUACAUAUACAUAUAUACAU